rnacentral:rRNA from 1 species
CUACACGAACGUAACCUUACCGUAGGGUUGACAUGACAGUGUAGGAAACCGAAAGGUGACCGACCCUUCGGGGAGCUUGCACAGGUGCUGCAUGGCUGUCGUCAGCUCGUGUCGUGAGAUGUUCGGUUAAGUCCGCUAACGAGCGCAACCCUCGCUGUGUGUUAUAUGUGUCACACGGGACUGCCGGUCUUAAGCCGGAGGAAGGUGGGGAUGAUGUCAAGUCAGCAUGGCCUUUAUAUCCUGGGCUACACACACGCUACAAUGGCCAGCACAGUAGGUUGCUAAGCCGCGAGGUGGAGCCAAUCCAUAAAGCUGGUCUCAGUUCAGAUUGCAGGCUGCAACCCGCCUGCAUGAAGAUGGAGUUGCUAGUAACCGCAGGUCAGCUAUACUGCGGUGAAUACGUUCCCGGGGCUU